UACGUAGGGGGCUAGCGUUGUCCGGAAUCAUUGGGCGUAAAGCGCGCGUAGGCGGCCAGAUAAGUCCGGUGUGAAAGUCACAGGCUCAACCUGUGAAUGCCGCUGGAAACUGUCUGGCUAGAGUCCGGAAGGGGCGAGUGGAAUUCCUGGUGUAGCGGUGAAAUGCGCAGAUAUCGGGAGGAACACCAAUGGCGAAGGCAGCUCGCUGGGACGGUACUGACGCUGAGACGCGAAAGCGUGGGGAGCAAACAGG
rnacentral:rRNA from 1 species